UACGGGGGGGCAAGCGUUGUUCGGAAUUACUGGGCGUAAAGGGCUCGUAGGCGGCCAACUAAGUCAGACGUGAAAUCCCUCGGCUUAACCGGGGAACUGCGUCUGAUACUGGAUGGCUUGAGUUUGGGAGAGGGAUGCGGAAUUCCAGGUGUAGCGGUGAAAUGCGUAGAUAUCUGGAGGAACACCGGGUGGCGAAGGCGGCAUCCUGGACCAACACUGACGCUGAGUGAGCGAAAGCCAGGGGAGCAAACGGGG
rnacentral:rRNA from 1 species